UGGUUACUCUCCAGAACUUGAUGGAAAGA
rnacentral:piRNA from 1 species